rnacentral:other from 1 species
UAAAGUUGUACAUAGAAGCUAGAUGCGAUAUUAGCUGAAAUAUAAAUUAAGCCCGACGGUGAUAUUCACCACAAUUUACACUUUUAUUUAAGGUUAAAAAUUAUGUCUAAUAAAGUAGAUGGCGUAGUAAAAUGGUUUGACGAGUCAAAAGGUUUUGGCUUCAUUUCACAAAAUGAUGGCGGUAAAGACGUAUUUGUACAUUUCCGUGCAAUCCAGUCAGAAGGCUUCAAAACACUUGCUGAAGGUCAAGCUGUUUCUUUCGAAGUUGAAGAAGGUCAAAAAGGUCUUCAAGCUGCGAACGUUGUAGUACUUUAAUUAGUUACUAUAAAAGAAAAGCGAGUUAUUAAACUCGCUUUUUUUG